AGAUGUGAGAGUCAUCUGGCUGUGAAGUGUCACCUCAUUGAUCACCAUGGUUGAUUCAGAUGACCUCGUUGACUAAAUAAGUUUCCCUUCCUCGCCACAGCUCCAUGUCUGUCCUAAAGCUGUACCUUAAGGUGCACAAGUGCACCAGGGAUGGUGGGUCACACCUUUAAUCUCAG
rnacentral:snRNA from 1 species